rnacentral:rRNA from 1 species
CAGCCGCCGCGGGAAUACGGAGGGAGCUAGCGUUGUUCGGAAUUACUGGGCGUAAAGCGCGCGUAGGCGGUUACUCAAGUCAGAGGUGAAAGCCCGGGGCUCAACCCCGGAACUGCCUUUGAAACUAGGUGACUAGAAUCUUGGAGAGGUCAGUGGAAUUCCGAGUGUAGAGGUGAAAUUCGUAGAUAUUCGGAAGAACACCAGUGGCGAAGGCGACUGACUGGACAAGUAUUGACGCUGAGGUGCGAAAGCGUGGGGAGCAAACAGGAUUAGAUACCCGCGUAGUCCCUGUCUCUUAUAC